ensembl:lncRNA
UGGGUCUCAGGAUGCAGUGAGUAGCUGAUGUCAUGGUUCAGCAGGCUGUCAGUGGCCUGGGACUGUCCUGCAUGACUUUUGCUUCUGCUGUGUUAUCCAGCCUCAAUUCUGCCUACUUUUUAUCCUGCAUGGCUUGGAACUGGAAUCUGUCAUCACUGGCCUCUGCUUGGUGUUUGUUUCAGGAGUCUCAGGGAUUCACACACUUGGACUUUACUUGGCUGCAUCUGCCAAACAAUCUAGUCUGCAUUUUGGUUAGCUGGAGACCAACCAGGAUUUUUCUGAUUAUAUCUUCUUCUGAAAAAAGGAUGCAUGACAUAGAAAGAAGGUCUAAGUGCCUGUCUGAGACUAUUUUACCAAACCUGGGAUAAAUGUUAUUUCUCAAAGAUUUGUAUCAAGUUUGUCACUAGAAACAAGCAAAGAGAGUUUGAAACUGCAACAGCUGACUGAAAGAAAACAAAUGGUAUGAAGGAGGUUAGAGAGGACGAAGAGAGAAUCUGUGUCUGUAUUAUCAAAUGAGGUCCAAAGCAUCAGCUGCUACAGGAAUUAGUGGCACCACAGCAUAUGUAUAUGAUACUAUGUUUUGGGUCUUUUUGGGUCCCAGUCCUGGGGCCACAUCUGCAUUAUAAAAUAAUCAGGCUCACUUGUCUGUGUUGCUUUCUUAGCUCUCAUUUUGUUGCUUUAUCAUUCAGGGAGUUCUUGCUGUGUGCUGCCUGUGGCUUAAAUGCGAAGGUUCUUUCAUUUUAGUCAGAAAAUAUGUGAUGAAUAAUUAAAUUUUUCCUGAAAUACAGUGUUUUCUCAAAACUCUUCAAGCGGUGUCAGUGGCUCUUUAGAGGCCAUUUCCAAGGCUUACAGCAGUAUCCUCUGGUAAUGAGGUAAUGAUAUUGCCUCAGUUAUGUGCUGCAAGGGAAGAUGAAGACUUAAACUACCAUUCAGCUUUAGCUUUUUUUUUUUUUUUUAAUUACUGCUGUAAUUUUAAAAGUAUCUGCCCUCCCUUUCUGUUUAAGAAAAAUCAUCCCAUCCCAUUUGUUAAGAUGAUGCCAUCCAUAGCCAAGAACUUUUCCUUGCAAAGACAGCUUCCUUCAGGGGAAUGAUGGUAUUGGCCUUGUUUUGUGACACCCGGAUCCAGGUAGUUUAGUUCAUCUGAAUUCUACUUUUUGGCUGUUAUGCAACAUAUCCGUACAGUAUUCAUGACGUGAAAGAACAGCCGCCAACCUUUGUGUUGAUACUUCCCAGAGAAAUUUGUAUAUAUACAAACCUAUAAGUAUAUGCAUAUAUAUGUGUAUAUGGAAGAGCAACUUGAUUACUAGUAUACCAAGAAAAGGACUUCAACUUGUCCUCAAGACAGAGAUCUCAAACACUUUGUUCUGAUAUGGCUACAAAUUGCUGUGGGCUCUGGGGUGCAGCCUCCCUGAUGCUAAGGCAAGGAGCAUCUGUACAGCUCAGUGGUGUAUGUAGCCUGCUCCCCCUGUAUCUGUGAGGAAAAAGAUGUGUGUCUGUUUUCUCUGUUCUUCCUUGCACAGUCUCACAUAGGGAAAAGUUUCAAACAAAUCCCCCUCUACUUUGUAGAUGCAGGAGCAGGGGGGUUAUAAGAUGCUUGUGAGAAACAGUAGGAAAUACUAAGUCUUGUUAACCCAAAGCAAUCAAAAAUCUUCAGACAAACCUCUGAACAUCAAAUGAGUUAAGUUUACAUAGAGUAAUCUUCCUUCUGCAGAGAUGUAUAUUUUUAGGUUCCUUUCUGUUCCAAUCUCUGGACUAUUGUGGGUCAUGUUUAAAAACAUUCUUCCUUUAUUGCUGAGAUAUGAUGGAAAUCUUAACUAAGGGGGAGUGGGGAAAAGAAGAAAAAGAGUGAGUCUUCCCUAACCGUUAUGACUUCAGGAACCGGCAACUUAAAAAUAAUAAAAUAAAAAUCCUAUUUUGAAUCUCA